CCCUCGGGAUUGUAAUUUUGAAGAUUUGGCAUUGGAGAAAGCUAACCCAAGUUGCUUGGAAUAGUACGUCAUAGAGGGUGACAACCCCGUCUGGCUAACCGUUCUCCAUGUAUUGCCUUAUCAAAGAGUCGAGUUGUUUGGGAAUGCAGCUCAAAGUGGGUGGUAAACUCCAUCUAAAGCUAAAUACUGGUGAGAGACCGAUAGCGAACAAGUACUGUGAAGGAAAGGUGAAAAGAACUUUGAAAAGAGAGUGAAAUAGUAUGUGAAAUUGUUGAUAGGGAAGGAAAUGAGUGGAGAGUGGCCGAGGUUUCAGCCGCCCCUCGUGGGCGGUGUACUGCCGACGCCGAGUCAUCGAUAGCGAGACGAGGGUUACAAAUGGGAGCGCCUUUCGGGCGUUCUCCCCUAACCCUCCACACUGCCACCGACGACAUAAUCCACCCAUU
rnacentral:rRNA from 1 species